rnacentral:lncRNA from 1 species
GCAUCGUCGGGGAUUACCCCAUCGAUCGGAUUGAUGGUCGGCUGGGGGAAGGCCCCUUACUUCGGGGAACAAGGGAGAGGAAGACCUCCCUUAUUUCGUGAAGAAAGAAAAGGAAAAGAAGAGGACGCGCGGUCCUCUAUUCCGUGAAGAAGAAGAAAAAAAAAAGAAAAAAAUAAAUAAAAAAUAAUAAUAAUAUAAAUAAAAAAAUAUGAGAG